rnacentral:rRNA from 1 species
CCUACGGGUGGCUGCAGUGGGGAAUAUUGGACAAUGGGGGCAACCCUGAUCCAGCCAUGCCGCGUGUGUGAGGAAGGCCCUCGGGUUGUAAAGCACUUUCAGUGAGGAAGAACGCCUGGUGGUUAAUACCCAUCAGGAAAGACAUCACUCACAGAAGAAGCACCGGCUAACUCCGUGCCAGCAGCCGCGGUAAUACGGAGGGUGCGAGCGUUAAUCGGAAUUACUGGGCGUAAAGCGCGCGUAGGUGGCUUGAUAAGCCGGUUGUGAAAGCCCCGGGCUCAACCUGGGAACGGCAUCCGGAACUGUCAAGCUAGAGUGCAGGAGAGGAAGGUAGAAUUCCCGGUGUAGCGGUGAAAUGCGUAGAGAUCGGGAGGAAUACCAGUGGCGAAGGCGGCCUUCUGGACUGACACUGACACUGAGGUGCGAAAGCGUGGGUAGCAAACAGGAUUAGAUACCCUAGUAGUC